UUGUAUAGUGUGUGCAUAUAAUGCAGUGUGUGUGUAGUGUGCAUUAUAUAAACACACUGCAUUAUAUACACACACUAUACAA